GUGGCUCUAUGCUUCCACCGUCUUUGCGAGACAAAAUCUCUGACAUUUGACCUCAAAUCGGGUGGGACUACCCGCUGAACUUAAGCAUAUCAAUAAGCGGAGGAAAAGAAACUAACAAGGAUUCCCCUAGUAACGGCGAGUGAAGAGGGAAAAGCUCAAAUUUUGAAUCUGGUGUCUUUGACUCCCGAGUUGUAAUCUAGAGAAGUGUUUUCCGCGUCGGACCGUGCACAAGUUCCCUGGAACGGGGCGUCAUAGAGGGUGAGAAUCCCGUAUAUGGCAYGGACYGCCGAUGCUCUGUGAUACACUCUCAACGAGUCGAGUUGUUUGGGAAUGCAGCUCAAAAUGGGUGGUAAAUUCCAUCUAAAGCUAAAUAUUGGCGAGAGACCGAUAGCGAACAAGUACCGUGAGGGAAAGAUGAAAAGCACUUUGGAAAGAGAGUGAAACAGUACGUGAAAUUGUUGAAAGGGAAGCGUUUGAAGUCAGUCGUAUCUGGCGGGAUUCAGCCUGGCUUUUGCCUGGUGUACUUCCCGUCCGAUGGGUCAGCAUCAAUUUCGAUCGAGGGAAAAAGGCGUGGGGAAUGUGGCUGUCUUCGGGCAGUGUUAUAGCCCUGCGUUGUAUGCCUCGGUUGGGAUUGAGGAACGCAGCGCGCCUAUAGGCCAGGGGCUACCCGCCUCUUGACACGCGCUUAGGAUGCUGGCAUAAUGGCUUUAAGCGACCCGUCUUGA
rnacentral:rRNA from 1 species